rnacentral:rRNA from 1 species
UACGGAGGGAGCUAGCGUUGUUCGGAAUUACUGGGCGUAGAGCGCACGUAGGCGGCUUUGUAAGUUAGAGGUGAAAGCCCGGAGCUCAACUCCGGAAUUGCCUUUAAGACUGCAUCGCUUGAAUCCAGGAGAGGUGAGUGGAAUUCCGAGUGUAGAGGUGAAAUUCGUAGAUAUUCGGAAGAACACCAGUGGCGAAGGCGGCUCACUGGACUGGUAUUGACGCUGAGGUGCGAAAGCGUGGGGAGCAAACAGG